GCCAUUUUCUACAAUAACCCUCGUUUAGUUCACUUCAUUGUUCGUCGUCCUCGAUAUACGCCUGCAAUCGUCUCUGCAUCAUCCUUUAAACGAUCUUGAUAAUGAAGAUGGACACUACCGGUCUUGAAUCAGCCACUUUUUUCGGUGACGUCUUUUGAUAUUCCAAAUUCUGUGCUUAUGUGAGUGAACAUGUGUAACACCCGAGCUUAGGAGCGACCUGGAUUGUAUUAUUUGCAUUAUUUGACAGUGAAGGAGGAAAAUUGAAAGGAACUCGAAUGUCAGUUGAAUCUGGUUCACCUUAUGUGUAUGGUGUCCUGGACAAUGGGUAUUCAUCUUUGCUUUUACUUGUCCUUCAUCUUCAUCGAAAUAGAAACUUGUAACCCAACAUCAUUGGUACAAAAAUCUUAACAUACCCCUGAGAAAGGUAGAGAAAUUUACUUCUUAACACACUGCUGUGCUUCAUUCCUUCAUGUACAAUUGGUAAUUCUUGACUAUGCCAAACUUCAAUAUGGAUUUGAGGUAUUCUGAUUUCCAACGUGUCUGCAGCUACCGGUACGAUUUAUCAGUUGAAGAAGCUGCUGAACUGUCUAGAAGAGCAAUUUAUCAUGCAACAUUCUGAGACGAGGUCAGUAACAGAGUUGCUAGUGGUAUCUCCUGAUUACUCCUCUCCUUAUCAUGUCGAUAUGCAUAUCGUAUAUCCAUUUCUCGUUUCUAUGCAUAGUUUUAUCUGAAAUUGGGUUUUUGUUCGGUUUUGUUAGAUCCCAUAUUUGUUUGAGAGGGAAACGAAACAUUCUUUUAUAAGGGUGUGGAAACCU